GGGCGCAAUGGAUAGCGUGUUGGAUUUUUAAUCAAAAGCUCGUGGGUUCCAUUUCUACCAGGAAUA